rnacentral:rRNA from 1 species
UACGGAGGGUGCAAGCGUUAUCCGGAUUCACUGGGUUUAAAGGGUGCGUAGGCGGAUAGGUAAGUCCGUGGUGAAAUCCUGCAGCUUAACUGCAGAACUGCCAUGGAUACUAUUUAUCUUGAAUGUCGUGGAGGUUAGCAGAAUAUGUCAUGUAGCGGUGAAAUGCUUAGAUAUGACAUAGAAUACCCAGUGCGAAGGCAGCUAACUACGCGAUAAUUGACGCUGAUGCACGAAAGCGUGGGGAUCAAACAGG